rnacentral:lncRNA from 1 species
AUCUAUGUAAAGAGGAAUUUCUUUCUCCCACUCUUCCUGACCCAAUCCUUCUUAUCAUCACCAGUGAUUAGCAAGGUGAUGUUUAUGGGAGUUCUACAAAAAAAAAUGAUGAAUUGGUAAAUUAAUUGGGAGAAAAAGAUUUUCUUAUCCAAAACAACUCACUGUGCCAUAAUUUCAAAGUGCUUUUGCAAACUAAGUAUUGAAUCCUAUAGAAUUUACUAUUAUUUAUCCCAAGAAUAGAAUUCCCCGGUCUCCAAUGAGGAAACCCUAUUUCUGGUGUCAUUCCACAGUAUUUAAACCUCUAUGAAAUGAUGACACCCUAAAAACAAGUGUAAUGUCCAGCAAUUCCUUUCAGGAAAAAUAUGGCAUCUGGUUAUUCUUUUGAUCAAAACAUCAAUAAAUUAUAGUU